rnacentral:rRNA from 1 species
ACUCCUACGGGAGGCAGCAGUAGGGAAUAUUGGUCAAUGGGUGAGAGCCUGAACCAGCCAUGCCGCGUGCAGGAAGACGGCCUUCUGGGUUGUAAACUGCUUUUACCAGGGGAUAAAAGACCAUGCGUGGUUAAUUGAAGGUACCUGGAGAAUAAGCACCGGCUAACUACGUGCCAGCAGCCGCGGUAAUACGUAGGGUGCAAGCGUUGUCCGGAUUUAUUGGGUUUAAAGGGUGCGUAGGCGGGCUAUUAAGUCAGUGGUGAAAUCCAGCAGCUUAACUGUUGAUGUGCCAUUGAUACUGGUAGUCUUGAGUACAGAUGAGGUAGGCGGAAUUGACAGUGUAGCGGUGAAAUGCAUAGAUAUUGUCAAGAACUCCGAUAGCGAAGGCAGCUUACUGGGCUGUAACUGACGCUGAUGCACGAAAGUGUGGGGAUCAAACAGGAUUAGAUACCCUGGUAGGCGUAG